GUUGCCGCCGGGCUGAGAGAAGAGCUUGCGGGGUUUGCGGUUGAUGGCCCCGACUGAAGGGCUGGAGGCGGUGUAUGCCGCUGUUCUCGCUGUCGCUCCCGACACCUCCGUCCGCUUCUGGUCAGGAGAGGAGACAGAGGCCUGAAGCAAAGACAUCUGGGUCAGAGAAAAAGUAUUUAAGGGCCAUGCAAGCCAAUCGUAGCCAACUGCACAGUCCUCCAGGAACUGGAAGCAGUGAGGAUGCCUCAACCCCUCAGUGUGUCCACACAAGAUUGACAGGAGAGGGUUCUUGCCCUCAUUCUGGAGAUGUUCAUAUCCAGAUAAACUCCAUACCUAAAGAAUGUGCAGAAAAUGCAAGCUCCAGAAAUAUAAGGUCAGGUGUCCAUAGCUGUGCCCAUGGAUGUGUACACAGUCGCUUACGGGGUCACUCCCACAGUGAAGCAAGGCUGACUGAUGAUACUGCCGCAGAAUCUGGAGAUCAUGGUAGUAGCUCCUUCUCAGAAUUCCGCUAUCUCUUCAAGUGGCUGCAAAAAAGUCUUCCAUAUAUUUUGAUUCUGAGCGUCAAACUUGUUAUGCAGCAUAUAACAGGAAUUUCUCUUGGAAUUGGGCUGCUAACAACUUUUAUGUAUGCAAACAAAAGCAUUGUAAAUCAGGUUUUUCUAAGAGUAAGUAUAACAAGCAACUAAAAAAUUAUUAACUGUUUCUCUCCAUAGAUUUUAGAGAAAUAAUUUUGAGAGAAAUAGGAAAUAACUUGAAAGAAAUAGGAAGUAAUAGGAUAUAUUGUAACAUCCAUGUUAUGUUAAAUUUGUUAUCUAAAUCCUGGAAUAAAUUAUCUCUCCUAAUGCUGAAUUCCUUCACCUUACCUUCUUUGUAAGAAAAAAAAA
rnacentral:sRNA from 1 species